UGGGCCUUCGGCCUUCUUAGUAGUUUUUUUUUGUUUUGUUUUGUUUUCGUUUUUGUUUUGAUACGGCGUCUUGCUCUGUCUCCCAGGCUGGAGUGCAGCUGCACGAUCUUGGCUCACUGCAACCUCCGUCUCCCUGGUUCAAGCGAUUCUCCUGCCUCAGGUUCAAGCGAUUCUCCUGCCUCAGCCUCCGGAGUAGCUGGGAUUACAGGCAUCUGCCACCAUGCCCAGCUAAUUUUUGUAUUUUUAGUAGAGAUGGGGUUUCGCUAUGUUGGCCAGGCUGGUCUUGAACUCCUGACCUCAGGUGAUCCACCCGCCUCGGCCCCCCCAAAGUGAUGGGAUUAUAGGCGUCAGCCACCGCGUCUGGCCACCUUCUUAGUAGUUAUAAAGUAGCUCAGAUUUUUCAUUUAUCUCCUGUUUCAUGCAUAUCCUAUUCUUUGCAAAAUGAAACAAGAUUGCCGAGGCAUUUUCAAAUAUCUUCUAAAGUUUUAUAUUCUUAAGGAAAGAACAAAUUCUUUCACGUAUUAACUAAUAUAUCAAAGAAUUUGGGAUACAGAAGAUGCCUCAGGGUGGUCCCUGGUGGGCUUAUCCCAUUUCUUUCCUGAAGGAACGCAGGACAGGACAAAUUCAGUCUCAUCUGAGACAGACCUCUCCAGUUAGUCUUUUUCUUUUGAAACGGAGUUUCGCUCUUGUUGCCCAAGCUGGGGUGCAAUGGCGGAUCUCAGCUCAAUGCAACCUCCGCUUCCCGGGUUCAAGCGAUUUUCCUGCCUCAGCCUCCUGAGUAGCUGGGAUUACAGGCGCAGGCGACCACGCCCGGCUAAUUUUUUGUAUUUUCAGUAGAACAAUACAUUCACAACUGCAGGAGAUAUGACGCACACACACACACACACACACACGCAGAGACAGAGACAGAGACAGACAGAGUGGGAGAAAGGGAGAGGGCAGUGAGCACGAGCGACCUUUCUAGGUUUACGUCCUGCUCCAGGUUCUGGUGGGCUUUGAGAGUAUUUUCAUUGCAUGCCUGAUGUGUGCCCACACCUUGCUUGGGUGUAUGCAGUGAGUAACUGGUAGGUGCCUAUGAGCUAGACCAGUUACACCCCUCGUGGUCCUCAACCUAAUGGGUUUCACCUCCCUGUUAGCCUAGAAUUCCUGGAAGCUGGGAGACUGAGGUUGCAGUGAGUUGAGAUCGUGCCAUUGCACUCCAGCCUGGGUGACAGAGUGAGACUCUAUCUCAAACAGAAAAAACCCUGAAACACAUUCUGUUUCCUAUAACAGACAUAUGCAGUUCUACCUACUUUGUAAUUGAAAAUUAAAAUCUAAAAGCCUGGCAUUUAACAUUG
rnacentral:lncRNA from 1 species